UUUAGUGGACUGGCGGCCAGAGGCUGGUGCGGGGGUUUUAACGUCGGAUUUUACAACCUUUGAAUUAGUUUUUAACAUUUUACUAUGGACAGACCGAGUCUCCGCAGACUAUUUUCUGCUUGUGAUGUGAACAAGUCCGGUAGAAUCGAGUACGAGGACUUUACAGUAGUCUGCCAGGAGCUCAACGUCCCCGACGGGGAAAUACAAACUCUGUUCGACAAGUUCGACGCGGACAAAGACGGAUUCAUCACCUACAGCAAGUUUUCUUCCAGGUUUCAGGAGGUUUCAGAGACUCUUAACCUGGCGUCCCUCGACGUCGUCGGGUCGACAUGUUAUCCAAACAGUCCUUGGGGAGAGUUUUUGAGCAGGAUAGAUGCGGAGUCUGUUAUCUCUGAAAGUCUGAAGGAGCAGCUGGCCGAGCUUUACCAGGCCAUUCACACCUCUGCAAACAUGACUGUGCUGCAACAGUAUGAGGAAAUCAUCCACUCUCUGAUCAGUCAAAGUCUGGACAGCAAGCUAGCAUGUGAACAGCUGGAGACAAGCUUAAAGCGUGCUGAGGAGAUGAACAACAGUCAGCUGACAGAGCUGGAGGAGGACAUACAGCAGCAGCUUACUCGGACGGAGGAAAGGGUGAGAGAGGAGGAACGUAGGAAAAUGGAGGGGAUUUUGGCGUCCAUGCAGAAGAAGCACCGGAACGAGGUCACAGACUUGCAUGCAACUGUGGAAAAACUAUUACAGAGACAAGAGGACACUGACGUCAAUCAGUCAAGGGAGGAGAUGGAUCGACUGAACAAACAAAUCAGUGAUCUUUCUCAGGAAAAUGAGCAGCUACGGGCAUCUCUGCUUCAAGCUCAAACAAACAUUGCCAUCCUGCACUCAGACCUGGACAAGCUGAAGAACAUGUAUACAGACCAGAAAGCUCAACAUGAAAGAGAAUCAGAAGACUUGAGGAAAAUGAUUGUAGAAUACCAAUCCUAUGCCAGUCAGAUUCAGAUCCUCCAGGAAACGAACAAAAACCUGUAUGACAGUAAUGACGGGCUUCGCUCUGCUUUGGCCAGUGAAGCUGUUGCAGCUAAAAGGAGGCUGUCUCCCCAAAAUGAAAUCCCUGCCCGCAGGAUGAAACCGCUUCAACAGAGCACAUUCAACCACGGCAGCUCAGAACUGGAUUCAAGCAAAACGUCCUACUCUCACGUGGCCUUUUGGGCUGAUAAGUACCUGGACAGUGGAGUGUCCCUGCCAAUGGAGAUGGCUGACAGCGCAGGCAGCGAUUACGACAGCGACGACAAUAGGAGCUUGGCAGAGACUGUUCAUCACAGUUACUCGUACGUCCCGUCAGAGGUGGAGGUAUCAGAGGUGAAAUCUGAAGCUACUAUACCAGCGACUCCAAGUAGGGCGGGCUCUAUUGCGUCAUCACUGCGGAGACGUUUGUCUGCAUUUUCAACAAAGCCCCUAGAAGCAGACAUAGAGGAAACGGGAGAACCUGCUCCAAUGUACCGUCUGGUUUUAGCUGGAGACGCAGGAUCUGGAAAGUCCAGUUUUCUGCUGAGACUGACACUAAACGAGUUCAAAGGAGACAUCCAGACAACACUGGGAGUCGAUUUCCAAAUGAAGAAGAUGCUGGUGGAUGGACAGAUGACAAAUCUGCAGAUAUGGGACACAGCUGGACAGGAGAGGUUUCGGAGCAUCGCCAGGUCUUAUUUUCGGAAAGCUCAUGGCGUCCUACUCCUCUACGAUGUGACUUCAGAGAGCAGCUUUCUUAACGUCAGAGCGUGGGUGGAUCAGAUCGAGCUUUGUUUUUAUUCAGGAUUCAACAGACGAGAAAAUCCCCAUGUGUGUUAUUGGAAACAAGGUGGACCUCCGGGAGCUGCUCCCAGAAAAAAAGUGUGUGAGCAGCAUGCAUGGAGAGAAGUUGGCAAAGACGUACGGAGCCUUGUUCUGUGAAACCAGCGCCAAAGAGGGAACCAACGUGGUCGAGGCCGUGCUUCACCUAGCCAGAGAAGUGAAGAAAGGUUUCAAUCAGAGGCGUAAGUCAACGUACUCGCAGCUCAGACUGAGUCCGUCCAACCAAAAGAAGGGUCAGAGCAAGUGCUGCUGACAAAAGAGGGCGGAGCUAGUGAAACCAAGGAGCAAAGAAGAACCAAGUUUUUUAAUUUUGAGAUGAAGAACAUCUGCUUUCAAGCAGGAACAUUUUUAAUCUUUGAAUUUUCAAGCUUUGAAUGUUUUUCAUGGAUGUUAUUUUCAUGAUCAAAAUGAAGAUUUCCAUUGUUGGGAAUUGUACAGGCAUCAAUACAAAUGUUUAAAAUGUAAUCAUACUUUUAUUUUGUUAGGUUUUUAAUUUAUUUGGUUGAGAAAUUAGUGUAAAUAAAUGAAUUGAAUUCAAUAUUUUUGCCAGGGACAAAAGUGCAUUAUGUUUAUUAUUUGAGGGUGACACAAAACAAGAGAAAAAGUCUGUAUUUUUAGACUUUUUUAUUAAGCAUCAUUGUGAGCAAUAUAACUUUGCAGUUUCAACACCUUCAUCUAUCAGAUCGGAUGUUAACUGAUCUUCAUUUUUGUGGCAUUUAAAGGGUUAUAGAUUUUUCAUAAAGUUAUUUUUUGUAGUUUGAAUAAAGACUUCACAAAAGUU